rnacentral:rRNA from 1 species
CCCUUAGAUGUUCUGGGCGGCCCGCGCACUACAAUGGCGCUUUCAGCGAGUUCCUAUGUUGAAUUUUCCUUGGUAUUCUUGGAAGCGGCGUCUUGACUUGGGAUAGAUCCUUGUAAUUGUUGGUUUUGAACGAGGAAUUCCUUGUAAUCGCGGUUGAUCAGCUCGCGUUGAAUACGUCCCUGCCCUUUGUACACACCGCCCGUCGCUCCUACCGAUUGGAUGGUCCGGUGAAGCCUCGGGAUUGUGGUUCUUGCCGCUUUAUUGUGGCGUGACCGCGAGAACUUGUCUAAACCUUAUCAUCUAGAGGAAGGUGAAGUCGUAACA